rnacentral:rRNA from 1 species
UGGCUUCAGGACGAACGCUGGCGGCGUGCCUAAUACAUGCAAGUCGAGCGAUGAUUAAAGAUAGCUUGCUAUUUUUAUGAAGAGCGGCGAACGGGUGAGUAACGCGUGGGAAAUCUGCCGAGUAGCGGGGGACAACGUUUGGAAACGAACGCUAAUACCGCAUAACAAUGAGAGUCGCAUGAUUCUUAUUUAAAAGAAGCAAUUGCUUCACUACUUGAUGAUCCCGCGUUGUAUUAGCUAGUUGGUAGUGUAAAGGACUACCAAGGCGAUGAUACAUAGCCGACCUGAGAGGGUGAUCGGCCACACUGGGACUGAGACACGGCCCAGACUCCUACGGGAGGCAGCAGUAGGGAAUCUUCGGCAAUGGGGGCAACCCUGACCGAGCAACGCCGCGUGAGUGAAGAAGGUUUUCGGAUCGUAAAACUCUGUUGUUAGAGAAGAACGUUAAGUAGAGUGGAAAAUUACUUAAGUGACGGUAUCUAACCAGAAAGGGACGGCUAACUACGUGCCAGCAGCCGCGGUAAUACGUAGGUCCCAAGCGUUGUCCGGAUUUAUUGGGCGUAAAGCGAGCGCAGGUGGUUUCUUAA